rnacentral:tmRNA from 1 species
GGGGUAGUCCCGGUUUCGACGGGGAUCUUGAAUCCGGAUAAGCCAUCCAUGUCCCGGACCCAUGUAAAAAGCCGGAACUUAAAUACAAACGCUGAAGAUAAUUUAGCAUACGCCGCCUAAGGGCGACGCGGCCAGCCUGCUGUUCCCGUACGGCAGGGCCUGACCGUCAUCUAUGCGGGGAACCUUUUACGCUAAGCUUUGCCCGUAAAAGAGAUCCAUGAAGCUACCAAAACAGCCUUGCCUGCUUACCGGCAUAGGCUUGAGGGAAUAAAAAUAGAUAAGCUGUGAUGGGAGAAAGUCUGGUGGAUGGGUUUUCGGACGCGGGUUCGACUCCCGCCUACUCCAU